CCUCACAGAGCUUGUAAAUAUAAGCAUCUCUUUUACACAGAGAAGAAGUUCGUGAAAUUCGAAUUGUCUGGA
rnacentral:tRNA from 1 species